AAACAUGCCCCCCUACGUCCCCAUCACCCCAGAGCCCUGAGUUCCCUAACGACCAGGAACCACCUCCCCCGCCGUCAGGACAGGGGGCCCACCAGCUGGCAGAGGACCUUGGCUCUCCCGGGGUGGCUGGAUCGUGGCCGUGCCCCACAGGGACGCUGGCCAACAGCCCCCUCCAGAUUCAGCUGCAGCUCUGAGAGGAUUUAAAUCCCGUCCAGUUGGAUCUGGUUCCUCUGCCUCUAUCGUUCUGACCCACAAAUCCUGCUAAUACCAUGACUUUUUGCCAAGUGAUGAGGGGCUAGAAAGACGAGGGGCGUCCAGCUGCUGUAAGGGCACUGAGAGCCACGUGGGUGCAGACAGAAAGGAAAGGAAUGUGGGCCAUGGCCAGCGGGCGCCAGGCAACCGGAGAGCUGGGUGCGGACACGGGCUUGCUCGCCUGUCAGGUCAGGUAUUUCCAUUAUAGUUUAUCACAAGAUAUUGAACACGUCUUUCCUUGGGAACAACAGGGGACUAGUGACAGGUGGCCCUCGAGGUAAAGAGCCCGCCUGCCAAACGCAGAGACGCAAGAGACGAGGGUGUGAUCCCGCGUCGGGAAGAUCCCCUGGAGGAGGGCACGGCGACCCACUCCCGUGUUCCUGCCUGGAGAAUCCCGUGGACAGAGGAGCCUGGCGGGCUGCAGUCCACCAGGUCACAAAGAGUCGGACAUUCCUAGGAACUGGAUUGCUGGGUCAUAUGGUGCUUCUGGUGUGUGUGUGGGCUGGGGGGCAUAUGGGAUCUUAGUUCCCUUACCAGGGAUUGAACUCCCUGCAGUGGAAGCAUGGAGUUUUAACCGCUGGACCACCAGACAAGUCCCUAUUUUUAGUUUUUUAAGGACCCUCCAUACUGUUCUCCAUAGUGGCUGCACCAAUUUACACUCCCACUGACAGUGUAGGAGUGUAAAUUUCCCCAUACCCUCUCCAGCCCUUGUUUGUAGACUUUUUGAGUGUUCUGACCUGUGUGGAGACUUUUGAUUGACAUGUUCCUGUC
rnacentral:lncRNA from 1 species